rnacentral:rRNA from 1 species
UACGUAGGAGGCAAGCGUUGUCCGGAAUCACUGGGCGUAAAGAGCGUGUAGGCGGUCUGCCAAGUCUGUUGUGAAAGCGCCUGGCUUAACUGGGCGAGGGCGACGGAAACUGGCAAGCUGGAGGCCGGUAGAGGAGGGUGGAAUUCCCGGUGUAGUGGUGAAAUGCGUAGAGAUCGGGAGGAACACCAGUGGCGAAGGCGGCCCUCUGGGCCGGGACUGACGCUGAGACGCGAGGGCGUGGGGAGCGAACGGG